AGAGUUUGAUCCUGGCUCAGGAUGAACGCUGGCGGCGUGCCUAAUACAUGCAAGUCGAGCGAACAGAUAAGGAGCUUGCUCCUUUGACGUUAGCGGCGGACGGGUGAGUAACACGUGGGUAACCUACCUAUAAGACUGGAAUAACUCCGGGAAACCGGGGCUAAUGCCGGAUAAUAUUUAGAACCGCAUGGUUCUAAAGUGAAAGAUGGUUUUACUAUCACUUAUAGAUGGACCCGCGCCGUAUUAGCUAGUUGGUGGGGUAAUGGCUUACCAAGGCAACGAUACGUAGCCGACCUGAGAGGGUGAUCGGCCACACUGGAACUGAGACACGGUCCAGACUCCUACGGGAGGCAGCAGUAGGGAAUCCUCCGCAAUGGGCGAAAGCCUGACGGAGCAACGCCGCGUGAGUGAUGAAGGUCUUCGGAUCGUAAAACUCUGUUAUUAGGGAAGAACAAAUGUGUAAGUAACUGUGCACGUCUUGACGGUACCUAAUCAGAAAGCCACGGCUAACUACGUG
rnacentral:rRNA from 1 species